UUAACUCAAAUUUUGUAUGGAGUUGGAACGUUUGCCGCUAAGGCGCUGUUCCAACUGCACACAAAUAUGAGUUA
rnacentral:pre_miRNA from 1 species